rnacentral:rRNA from 1 species
UGGGGAAUCUUGCGCAAUGGGCGAAAGCCUGACGCAGCAACGCCGCGUGAGCGAAGAAGGCCUUCGGGUUGUAAAGCUCUGUCAGGGGGAAAGAAGGCACCUGGGUUAAUAGCCCAAGGGCUGACGGUACCCCCAAAGGAAGCCACGGCUAACUACGUGCCAGCAGCCGCGGUAAUACGUAGGUGGCGAGCGUUGUCCGGAAUCAUUGGGCGUAAAGAGCGCGUAGGUGGCUUGUCAGGUCCGAUGUGAAAACCUGGGGCUCAACUCCAGGACUGCAUCGGAAACCGGCUUGCUAGAGUCUGGGAGAGGAGAGUGGAAUUCCUGGUGUAGCGGUGAAAUGCGUAGAUAUCAGGAGGAACACCGGUAGCGAAGGCGGCUCUCUGGAACAGUACUGACGCUGAGGCGCGAAAGCUAGGGGAGCGAACA